UAAAUUUCCAAGCAUCACUCGUAGGCUAUUUUAAUAAAAAAAAUUAAAAUCCGUAAUUGUACUCGCCAUCGCAUGAUUACCUAUACUAAACAGUCCUUAUCAGAGUAUUUACAGUAGUGUUUACAGUAAUUACCAACGCAAAUUCUUGAAGCUUUUACCUCUCUAACGACUUGUAUUACGUUUGUAUACUAUUCAUCAUAUACUAAUUAAUUUAAAUUGUUUUUGUCCGAUUAGAUUUAAUCCAAGCUUCCGACUUGUGAAUGUGCUUCGUUCUGACAUUCAAACAACGAUAAAAGUCGACACAAUGGAGAGUUUAUGUUUGGAAAAAUUCCUGCUGUGAGUGAAUUUAACUCAUACGUCAUCGUUGUAUCACUUUAUUGGACGAAACUUUUUUCACAUGCAUGUGAGAAAAUUGCAUCGCUUUUCUGAUUGGUUAAUGUGCAUUGCGAAACGAGUUUUUGCAUAGGUAAAUCCAGUGGGAAAACUCAGUAUAUACAUAAUAAAGUAUUGUUUUCCAUGUAGCACAUAAAAAUGAGAUAGAUCCAGACCAUUACAUAUUACCGAAGGAUCACUGGGUCACGACAGUUAAAGUACCCGUAACCCCAAAAUUGAUUUUCAGCUUACUAAAGAUGCGGUACAGUCCGAUCUGCGCAUGUGCACAAAGGAGCCCUCUUUUUAUUUACAAACAGUUUAUUUAAGUUUUUAUUUUAUUUUUUGCAAAGCAUGAUUGUUGUGUCUUCAUAAUUUAUUAUACUCUAGAAUCAUGAAAAUAUAAAUAGUUGUCGAAUAUAAUUCAAUAUUUAGGAUACCGAAAUGUAAACAAAGCUACUAACUCUUGACGAAGGAGCUUCGCUCGAAACGUCGAGUUAAUACGUUUCUGCUUGUUUUUUAAGGUAGUAAUAUAACCACUCAGCACAGCAUUGGUUUACAUACGGACUGUACCGCAUCUUUAACACAAUGCUACCACAAUCAUGGAAAUAAUAUCCGUAUACUUCGAUCUUUAGAACGUAUCUUGUCU